CCCUGCUUCUGCUUUCUUAAGGGUCUCUCCCUGAGCUGUUGGUGCAACAUUCCUACCCACUUCAGGUCUGGUGCUGCCUGAUCCAAAUCACUUUUUGCCCAAAUAAACUCUUAAAGUGUUUAAUAUGCCUCAGUUUAUCUUUUGUCCAUGUGAAGAGAUAGUAUUACAUGUUUUCUCCACCUGAACUGUAAAACAGCCCUGUCUCUAUAGCGGUCAUGAUUUGCAAUAACUGUGGAAAGUGAAAGCUUGCCUCCGUGCAGGUCAUUAUUCAUCGUGUGAUUGUUGGUGAUCAGUGACCAUUAACACUAUUUUUCUCUUCUGAUGAAACUCAACUUAAAAUGAAUUUACUGAGGUAGCUCAAAUUGUUUUCCAGGCAAAAGCUACUUUCAUUGUUUUACCACAUCAUUUCCUGACAGUAGAACUUCUGGCGUGAGAAACAUCAGCUGCAUGAGCCCCUGCGGUGCUGGAAACACAAGUGCUUAGGACAGAACUCAGAACUCGCUCGCCGCCAAGCACAGCAUUGUUCAUAACUCAUUAUCCUGUCAUCCCUGUGACACUUUCUUGGUCCCCUCACCGCCAAGCAGCCAGGCUCUGCUUACCCUGGGCUGUGGGCAGAGUGAAGCCUCGGGCGACGUGCAAAGAGGGGAGAGUGAUUCUCCUGUGCUUGACCUGCAAGGGCGUCAGAACCGUGUGUUCAUCUCCUUGAGAAAGAAAUUGUAUCUUUCAUUCACCGUCAAAUGACCAGCACGAAGCACACUACCCCGAAAAUCGUACCAAUAAAGUUCACGUUUAUUGCUCUGCAUCUAACUUUAGCGUCCUGAGGUUUACUCUCCUCUGGGUGUUCUGCGUGCUUUCUCCUUCUGUAUCCCUUGCAUCUUGUCCUUCUGGAAUUGCACUGAGGUCACAGCCCUGUUCAGCUCUGCUCAUCCGUGGUGAUUCCUCUCAGCUCCUGUACCUUCUUGCCCUCUGCACGUCUGCACAAAGCCAGCACGUUGUGAGAUUGUGGUCCCCUCAGACGCUUACUCUAAACUGCUGGAAGCUUAUUCUAACCUGCUUAUCUGAAAUCUGACCUUUCCCAGCUUAAUUACAAUUUCAUUCAGUACAAACUUACUACAAUAAAACUUAGCUGCCCACAGGAAAGCUCAGUCUACUUGCAGACUCGGCUGUGUAAGUAGUGAAAUGCAGUUACAUAUAGUAUUUUAUUUUAUUUACUGUGUGUGGCUAUUGAAAAGCCAAAUAUUGGACAGUCCUUGAAAUCAUUUUAUAUGGUGAGAAGCUCCAAAAAAGGCAGAAAGCUGGGCCCUUCCUUUUUAUCCCAAAUGACCUUUGUUUUGAAUGCCUUUUGUCCUGUGUAAUCUGAUAUGAAACUAUUUUGCAACCAGUUAUUUCGAAUUUGGACUUGAUAUGUUUUAGAUAAAUAUAAAGCCGUCCAGUCUGAAACUACAACUUUUAUUAAUCAUUAAUUUCUAAAGUGUCAAAUCAAAAGGAAAAGCAUUUUAAAUAUCAGAACUGAAAAGCACAUGCCCAAAGAAUAAAAAUCCUUAAGUUAAGUAAAUGUAAUUUUGUGGCAACUCA